UACGUAGGGUGCAAGCGUUAAUCGGAAUUACUGGGCGUAAAGCGUGCGCAGGCGGUUCGACUAAGACAGAAUCGGUGAAAUCCCCGGGCUUAACCUUGGGAACUGCAUUUGUGACUGGCGGGCUAGAGUAUGGCAGGAGGGGGGUAGAAUUCCACGUGUAGCAGUGAAAUGCGUAGAGAUGUGGAGGAAUACCGAUGGCGAAGGCAGCCCCCUGGGCCAAUACUGACGCUCAUGCACGAAAGCGUGGGGAGCAAACAGG
rnacentral:rRNA from 1 species